AUCGAACGCUGGCGGCGUGCCUAACACAUGCAAGUCGAGCGGAGCUGCGGACGGGUGAGUACUGACGAGUAAGCUGCCUGGUAGUAGGGGACAACGUACGGGAAGGGGCGCUAAUACAGCAUACUAUCAGAUGAGCUUAGGUCGGAUUAGCUAGUGGGAGGGGUAAAGGCCUACCAAGGCGACGAUCCGUAACUGGUCUGAGAGGAUGAUCAGUCACACUGGAACUGAGACACGGUCCAGACUCCUACGGGAGGCAGCAGUGGGGAAUAUUGGACAAUGGGCGAAAGCCUGACCCAGCAAUGCCGCGUGUGUGAAGAAGGUCUUCGGAUUGUAAAGCACUGUAAGUUGGGAAGCGUUAUCAACCGAAUAAGCACCGGAUAACUUCGUGCCAGCAGCCGCGGUAAUUC
rnacentral:rRNA from 1 species